UAUUGACGAUGACAUCCCAAAUGUUUUAAAAUGAAUAAAAAUACAUUUCUUCAGAAAUGCUUUGAUAACGUACUUAUCAUGUUUUACUGGGAACAAAUUCCACAACAUUUUUAUUAUAAAAAAAGGUUCUCAUAUUUUUAUAAAGCAUAAAUAAAAUCGGUCUUUUCUGUCCGUGAAAAUGGGGAUGUCACAGUUGGUAUCAGAGCAUUAGUUUAAGCGAACUAGGAAUAAGGAUUUAUUUCUAGACUUAAACUUAGAAUGCUAAGCGAUGAUUGUGAGAUGAGUGUCUGCUAUAAUUUAGACAGGAGCACUAGUUUAUUUUAGGAAAAUGCCUAAAAUGCUUUAUGUGCUAAAUGAUUUGUGUUAUAGCUAUAAAAAUGCCUUAUAUGCUGUUAUUUGUUCGGAUCUAUGGUCUGUUACCGACCGGAUCUGGAAACCUUAUGUAUUCAGGAUUCUAAGCGUAUGAUUACGAUAUUAGAACUAGUAUGUAACGUUUCAAAGUAAUAAGGAGAUUUAUAUGUCUAUCGUAAAUAAGAUCUUUUCUAUCUUAAAUUCUCUUCUCGGUACACUGAACGUCUGCUUGGGUGUACAAAACGAGAGGAAGAUGACAACCUGAGCCUAAGAAUGUGAUGGGCCAUGCAUCGGUCGUUGCACCUGCACCCGAACCUAUCACAGUGGCAGAAGUUCAGGAAGUGAUGCGAACCAUGAUAAACUGAGAAAAUAUAGGAAAAGAGACGGCUUACGAUACUAAAUAAUACCUAUAAGAAGAUAUAAUAAGAGAGGUAUCUUGCCUUUAGAAUACGUCUGAUAAAAUAAAAGUACGUCUAUAGAAGUAGGGUACAUCUGAAUGUACACAUUUUAUUGGCAGGAUGAUAGAACGAUUGAUGUAAUUCCUAAAGUUUUCCUAUCGUUUGGAAUACCCAUCACCAAUCGAGUUGAAGCAUAAUUGAUGAUUAAAGAUAUGCAUGGUAGAAGUCCUAGUAGAGCCUAGGGAAAUUUUUAUCAUUAUUUGGACACACUCGUAUGUGUUAAAUUGGUUCAUGAUUUUAGGAAUUGGGGACUACGAGACAAUACUUGGGAAGAGUAUGAGUAGGCGUGAAAGGUAGUAGAUGCAUAUACUACCGAAGGCACAAGACUCACGCUUGGAUUGGGGAAAGUCACAAGGUAACCAAGAAGCUAGUAAUUGAUUUCGUUUUGUUCAUGUAUGUCGUUACCAUCGUUUCGGUAAUGACUAAGAAGAUGAUUGUUAUUUCGACCCUAGUGGUCAUAUCAAUUUGACUCCGACUACGCUGAGUAUGUUAUGUGGUUCAGAGAAUCAAGUUCGAUGUAACAUCUGACUUAAGCCAUAGGAUUGAAGUAAAAGAUAAUUGAAGUGAUCGGUAGAGGUAUCGCGACGGUUGCUUGUAGCUAGAAAUGCUACCUUUUAAGAUGUGCUUAGAACAUGAAAGAAGGUAUAGUCUGUUCUGGAAUUUGACGCUAAAAGACAUGAGUCCAAGCGAUGCAUCAUAUGACGAGAGGUCAUCAGAACAUGACCCAUCAGUCUAUUAUGAUAAUCGAAGGAAGAAACUUAUCUCAAGUUUGUUAAAAAAGGAGUCUCCAAUAAAGAUCGAGAUAGCGACAUGAAGAUCAUGAUUGGAAGUCUAACAUGAGAUAGAGAGAGGGUCCAAGAUCGGGCACCGCCUGCAGUCAGGAAGUCUUAGAGUUAGAUACUCAUUCGAAGAAACAUCAAAGUUACAGUUAUUACUUAGGAUGAAGAGAUAACGUACGGAUUCAUCAUGUGAGUCAUGUUUCGUUGAUGAUUCCGGGACGUAAUCAUCCUAAGGGGGAAAUAAUUGUAACGCCCGUAGAUCCGGGCUAGUCAAUUUACAUAUAAUAGGGGUCGAAAACGACUUUUUGACAAAAGAUUAUUUAGAAUAAAUAAUCUUAACAAAGUUGUAGAAUAUGUCUCAAGGGUUCCAUACAUAUAAAGAGCGCCGAAAUCCGAUUUAUAACAAAGAAGUUAUGACCCGUCGAAGUUCCGCGACGGAACCGGCACGACACCGGGAAGAUGUAAAUAGUGAAUUUAUGAUAGAGCGACUUUUAGCCCUAGUAAUCUAAAAUAAAGUUGUAGAAUAUGUUAACCUGAGAGCGUCCAUAAAAAGAACGCCCAAAUCUGACUUCGUAUGAGGAAGUUAUGAUUUUUCGAAGUUUUGGCUUAGCGGUGUACGACCCGAAGUUCGAGUAUUAGAUCGAGCGGGUUUUUAGCCGACACAACCUAAACGAGAAUCGAAUAUCUCGUUAUUAGUAGCGUAACGAUAAGAAGACAAACAAAAAUGGACAUCGGAUGAAGAAGUUAUGAGAUUUUAACGGACCAAUCAUGUCCCGGCCUGUUAAAAAUAUAACUUUAAAAAUAAAGUCAAAAUUAGCCGACGGAGUCUAAACGAAAGUUGUAGAGUACGUCUCAACAUACGCGUGGAUAUAAAUAACGUCAAAAACGGAGUUCGUAUGAACGAGUUACAAAUUAUAUUAGCAUAUUUACGUAUUAAAAUAAAGUAUAAAUCAUAUAUACGUACACAUAUAUAUACAUAUGUAUAUAUCAUUAGAAAGGUAUCGACGAUCCAGUCAUUAUAAGACUAAUGUUGAUUUCUUUCGACAUUAGUUUAGUACAAAUAUCGGUAAAUUUAUUUAAAAUAGUAAUAUAAAGGGGUGUUUAGUUGUUUAUAUAACUAUAAGGUCAUUAAGUAAUUAUGGAGGGUAGUUUUUGAAAAUUCAAUUAGUAUAAAUAAGAGCCUCUAGCUCUUAUAUUUCUUGCACCAUUCUCUUAAUUCAAGAGUCUUUCUCUUCUUAUCCCCCGAACAUUUCGGUUCCUCGUGAUUCGACUUCUCUUUCUGUAGUUUUAGUAUAGUAAGGUGAGCGCUGAAGUGCUGCACAAAUCUUUCUUAGAAAGAUUCAGCGACGAAGUUCUGCCCCUGCAGAGCCCGACUCCUAGCUGAAAUCCCCUUGUAAGUAAAUUAUGCUUACCCUAUUUUAAAUAUAGUUUAUAUUUAAAAUUAGUAUUGUUAUUAUGAAUUUAUAAUAAAUAUUUGAGCUAUUAUUAUGACUUAUAUAAGUUUCGUUAUAAUAUCUUUUUAACUACUCGCGAUACGGGGAAUCUGGUUUAAAGGGCCGCAUAGGGUUGUUGGAUUUCAGAAGUGCUAUAUGCCAAAAUGGUCCUGCCCUCCGGUGUUUUAUGUCUGGCCCCUGUCUGUACAUAGUGGUUGGAAAGUAUUGUUUAAACGCUUAUAUAAUAAUAAUAAUAAGACUAAUAAUUAGUCAUGGUAAAUAUUAGACUAAAAUCUAGUGGUAAUAAUACUAGGUUUCGUCGAAAGAAAUUAUUUUAAAGUAAACGAAGCGCUGUCCGAGUACCGAGUCACCACCUUAUCAAGUGAGUGCAUGGUUACUUUCAUCUUACACAUAGAUAUGAAGUAUUUUAUAUAAACUACAUGCUAUGUGUGCAUAUUAUCUGAAUAUUUGUUGUCUAUGUUGGAUGAACUAUUUUAUACAUGUUUUAAAUGAUUUAAACUGUAUAUGUAUUUUAUAUCUACGAUAAUGUUGGGGUAAAACAUGGGUAGAUGUAAUAUAUGAGUUGGAUGAUGAGUUGAGAGGUGUUAUAGACCACGAGGUGAGGGUGAGGGGCGGAUGAUGUGAGAAGCCUUUUCCCAAACGAUAGCCCCGUCAUUCAGCAGAGUAUGGAUGACAACCACGGACUAUUCUAUACAGUCCAUUGGAACACUAGCAGACUCGCAACCUGUAAGUGUUGUGAACAAUGUGUUCACCCGGUGUACUGUAAACCCUGGUGAUCAUGCAAAACCUUGGUGAUCAUGCAGACUUGAUGCCUAAACCUUGGUGAUCAUGCAGACUUGAUGCCUAAACCUUGGUGAUCAUGCAGACUUGAUGCCUAAACCCUGGCGACUAUGCAGACUUAGUGCCCAUUGUGUAAACCAUGGCAACGAUGGGUAUCAUCUCAAUUACUUAGGAUGAUCCUUAGCAAUGAAUGAACGAGAGAUAACUGAUUCUUAGGGUAGAUCCUUAAGAAUAAAGAAGAUAAUGGGGAUGGGAAAUUGGGUUGAUUGCUUGAUUGUUUAAACAUAAUAAUUAUAUUAUUGUGGGUUGAAAACCCUAUGUACUCACCAGGUUUCCCAACCUGACCAACUGAGUUUAUUUAUAUCACAGGUGUCGAUAUGAAGUUACAUUACACUGAGAGACUAAGUAGAUAUAAAUCACUAGUGAUAAUGAAUGUAAGUUCUGUUUAUGCUUAUGUUUCUGUAUUGACGAUGACAUCCCAAAUGUUUUAAAAUGAAUAAAAAUACAUUUCUUCGGAAAUGCUUUGAUAACGUAUUUAUCAUGUUUUACUGGGAACAAAUUCCACAACAUUUUUAUUAAAAAAAGGUACUCUGAUUUUUAUUAAGCAUAAACAAAAUCGGUCUUUUCUGGCCUUGAAAAUGGGGAUGUCACAUACAACUACCAAUGACUAUCGUUACUAACAAGAUCGUUUCUCUCCAUGCCAC
rnacentral:lncRNA from 1 species